CUGUGGUCGUGAGAACCUACCCUCUAUGAUUACCGUUAGGAUUAGAUUUAUUUCUUAGAGAUUGUUAUUAUGUGCCUGCAGCAAGCAGAAAUUUGAUUUCUGUUUCAUGUUUAGCACAAGAAGGCUAUGUGAUUAGCUUUCAUAAGGAUCAUUGUAACAUCUUUUAUGAAAAUAAUAAAGUUGCAGAUGGUUUUCUUAUUAA
rnacentral:lncRNA from 1 species